UGCCAGCAGCCGCGGUAAGACAGAGGGUGCGAACGUUGUUCGGAAUUACUGGGCGUAAAGCGCGUGUAGGCGGCUGCGCAAGUCGGGUGUGAAGGCCCUGGGCUCAACCGAGGAAGUGCACUCGAAACUGCGUAGCUAGAGUUCCGGAGAGGAUGGUGGAAUUCUCGGUGUAGAGGUGAAAUUCGUAGAUAUCGAGAGGAACACCGGUGGCGAAGGCGGCCAUCUGGACGGAAACUGACGCUGAGACGCGAAAGCGUGGGUAGCAAACAGGAUUAGAUA
rnacentral:rRNA from 1 species